rnacentral:lncRNA from 1 species
CUACCCACCCCCAUAACCCAAAUUCAAUUAUUCUCCAAACCCUAAAUUCAUUCCACCCUCUCCUCCCUCACUCUUGUGCUAAAGCCUACAGUCGCUCUCUUCUCUUGCGCCACCGUCUCAACCCCUGAAAUCAUUUCACCCCUUCUCUCUUUCUCGAUCUUCGAUUUUGCUAUGUUGUGCGGUUGGUGCGGUGGUGCGGUGCUGGGGUGGUCUCAAGAAGCCUUUGUCAGAGAGAACCGUUGACGGCACCAUUGCCCUAUCUGUUGAUGCUGCUGAGCGUUCUUCUUUCUUGCUCCAUCGCGAUCUUCUUUUCUUUCUGCAUUUUGAUGGCUGAUGGUUUUUUGUACAAUUUAUUGUGUUGUGAUGUGGAUGUAGUGAUGCAGAGCUGUGGGUGGUGGUGGUGUAUGAUGACGAGAGAGUUUAUAACCAUUUAUUUCGGCGGCCAUGGUGUUGCAGGUGAUAGUGUUCAGUGAUGGUGCAAGCGAUGAUAGUGUUCGGCGUCGAUGCAUCGAUGGUGUAGAUGGCGGUGCUGGCAAUAGUCUUUAGCAAUGGUGGAGAUGGUAGUUGUGGUGGUCAGUUUGUUGUUUGUUUGAGA